UGGGGAAUUUUGGACAAUGGGGGAAACCCUGAUCCAGCCAUCCCGCGUGUGCGAUGAAGGCCUUCGGGUUGUAAAGCACUUUUGGCAGGAAAGAAACGUCAUGGGUUAAUACCCCGUGAAACUGACGGUACCUGCAGACUAAGCACCGGCUAACUACGUGCCAGCAGCCGCGGUAAUACGUAGGGUGCAAGCGUUAAUCGGAAUUACUGGGCGUAAAGCGUGCGCAGGCGGUUCGGAAAGAAAGAUGUGAAAUCCCAGAGCUCAACUUUGGAACUGCAUUUUUAACUACCGGGCUAGAGUGUGUCAGAGGGAGGUGGAAUUCCGCGUGUAGCAGUGAAAUGCGUAGAUAUGCGGAGGAACACCGAUGGCGAAGGCAGCCUACUGGGAUAACACUGACACUCAUGCACGAAAGCGUGGGGAGCAAACAGG
rnacentral:rRNA from 1 species